rnacentral:rRNA from 1 species
AACGUAGGUGGCAAGCGUUAUCCGGAUUUACUGGGCGUAAAGGGUGUGCAGGCGGGACGACAAGUGGUGUAUGAAAUCUCCCAGCUUAACUGGGAUAGGUUAUGCCAGACUGUCGUUCUAGAGGACGAGAGAGGGGGGUGGAAUUCCGGGUGUAGUGGUGAAAUGCGUAGAGAUCCGGAGGAACCCCAGAGGCGAAGGCGGCCCCCUGGACCUGUACUGACGCUCAUGCACGAAAGCGUGGGGAGCAAACAGG